GAUGAACGCUGGCGGCGUGCCUAAUACAUGCAAGUCGAGCGAACGGACGAGAAGCUUGCUUCUCUGAUGUUAGCGGCGGACGGGUGAGUAACACGUGGAUAACCUACCUAUAAGACUGGGAUAACUUCGGGAAACCGUAGCUAAUACCGGAUAAUAUUUUGAACGGCAUGGUUCAAAAGUGAAAGACGGUCUUGCUGUCACUUAUAGAUGGAUCCGCGCUGCAUUAGCUAGUUGGUAAGGUAACGGCUUACCAAGGCAACGAUGCAUAGCCGACCUGAGAGGGUGAUCGGCCACACUGGAACUGAGACACGGUCCAGACUCCUACGGGAGGCAGCAGUAGGGAAUCUUCCGCAAUGGGCGAAAGCCUGACGGAGCAACGCCGCGUGAGUGAUGAAGGUCUUCGGAUCGUAAAACUCUGUUAUUAGGGAAGAAAAUAUGUGUAAGUAACUGUGCACAUCUUGACGGUACCUAAUCAGAAAGCCACGGCUAACUACGUG
rnacentral:rRNA from 1 species